AUGAACGCUAGCUACAGGCUUAACACAUGCAAGUCGAGGGGCAGCAUGGUCUUAGCUUGCUAAGGCCGAUGGCGACCGGCGCACGGGUGAGUAACACGUAUCCAACCUGCCGUCUACUCUUGGACAGCCUUCUGAAAGGAAGAUUAAUACAAGAUGGCAUCAUGAGUCCGCAUGUUCACAUGAUUAAAGGUAUUCCGGUAGACGAUGGGGAUGCGUUCCAUUAGAUAGUAGGCGGGGUAACGGCCCACCUAGUCUUCGAUGGAUAGGGGUUCUGAGAGGAAGGUCCCCCACAUUGGAACUGAGACACGGUCCAAACUCCUACGGGAGGCAGCAGUGAGGAAUAUUGGUCAAUGGGCGAGAGCCUGAACCAGCCAAGUAGCGUGAAGGAUGACUGCCCUAUGGGUUGUAAACUUCUUUUAUAAAGGAAUAAAGUCGGGUAUGGAUACCCGUUUGCAUGUACUUUAUGAAUAAGGAUCGGCUAACUCCGUGCCAGCAGCCGCGGUAAUACGGAGGAUCCGAGCGUUAUCCGGAUUUAUUGGGUUUAAAGGGAGCGUAGAUGGAUGUUUAAGUCAGUUGUGAAAGUUUGCGGCUCAACCGUAAAAUUGCAGUUGAUACUGGAUAUCUUGAGUGCAGUUGAGGCAGGCGGAAUUCGUGGUGUAGCGGUGAAAUGCUUAGAUAUCACGAAGAACUCCGAUUGCGAAGGCAGCCUGCUAAGCUGCAACUGACAUUGAGGCUCGAAAGUGUGGGUAUCAAACAGGAUUAGAUACCCUGGUAGUCCACACGGUAAACGAUGAAUACUCGCUGUUUGCGAUAUACGGCAAGCGGCCAAGCGAAAGCGUUAAGUAUUCCACCUGGGGAGUACGCCGGCAACGGUGAAACUCAAAGGAAUUGACGGGGGCCCGCACAAGCGGAGGAACAUGUGGUUUAAUUCGAUGAUACGCGAGGAACCUUACCCGGGCUUAAAUUGCAGAUGAAUUACGGUGAAAGCCGUAAGCCGCAAGGCAUCUGUGAAGGUGCUGCAUGGUUGUCGUCAGCUCGUGCCGUGAGGUGUCGGCUUAAGUGCCAUAACGAGCGCAACCCUUGUUGUCAGUUACUAACAGGUUCUGCUGAGGACUCUGACAAGACUGCCAUCGUAAGAUGUGAGGAAGGUGGGGAUGACGUCAAAUCAGCACGGCCCUUACGUCCGGGGCUACACACGUGUUACAAUGGGGGGUACAGAGGGCCGCUACCACGCGAGUGGAUGCCAAUCCCAAAAACCUCUCUCAGUUCGGACUGGAGUCUGCAACCCGACUCCACGAAGCUAGAUUCGCUAGUAAUCGCGCAUCAGCCACGGCGCGGUGAAUACGUUCCCGGGCCUUGUACACACCGCCCGUCAAGCCAUGGGAGCCGGGGGUACCUGAAGUGCGUAACCGCGAGGAGCGCCCUAGGGUAAAACUGGUGACUGGGGCU
rnacentral:rRNA from 1 species